GUCUGGUGCCAGCAGCCGCGGUAAUUCCAGCUCCAAUAGCGUAUAUUAAAGUUGUUGCAGUUAAAAAGCUCGUAGUUGAUUUUCUGUUAAUUUUUAUGUAUAAUAUUGCGAUAUUUACAUAAUAUUAACAUAAUUCACAUUACUUUACRGUAUGUGGAAUUUUACUUUGAGAAAAUUAGAGUGCUUAAAGCAGGCUAUUGCCUUGAAUACUCCAGCAUGGAAUAAUAUUAAGGAUUUUUAUUCUUCUUAUUGGUUCUAGAAUAAAAAUAAUGAUUAAUAGGAACAGUUGGGGGCAUUUGUAUUUAACAGUUAGAGGUGAAAUUCUUAGAUUUGUUAAAGACAAACUACUGCGAAAGCAUUUGCCAAGGAUGUUUUCAUUAAUCAAGAACGAAAGUUAGGGGAUCGAAGACGAUCAGAUACCGUCGUAGUCUUAACCAUAAACUAUGCCAACUAGAGAUUGGAGGUUGUUCCUUACUCCU
rnacentral:rRNA from 1 species